AGCAACAUUUCCUUAAAUUAUCAAUGACUACAUUACACUAAUGCUCUAUAAAAUAUAAGAUAUUAUUAUAGGAGGAAGGACCCUGGCACAAAAUUAACCAAUCACCCUGGCUCUCCCCCCCACGAAGGCAGAAUGACAGCUGGAUUCAUGGCACAGGCCAGAAAAUUACAAUUUACCAGGAUACAAUUUCGGUGCCAGUUCUUACCUAAGACUUAAUGAGGCUUUGGACACACCCAAAGCACAUCGCAUUCCCAAGCACCUCCUAUUUUUAAGGGACUUUACCAAGAACCCUUCAGAUGUUGCAAAGGAUAGCUGCAAGUUUCUUGGUAAGACUUUAGCAACUCCCUACUUUACUGGAAGUGCGGGGGGAAAAAAACAUCUUGCAGCUUUGCCAGAGUCCUAGGGGGUGGGGGAAGGAAGAAAAGUCCAAUUUUGGAAAGAAUUUGCUUGUAAGUUUUUGAGAGAGGGUGAAGAGAGCCUAACCUCCCAGCUCCCUCACUCACUCUUGAGUGCACUGGCACUCCUUUGCACCCUCGGGCGGGAGGCUCCCCUGCCCGCCUCUGUCCACAGCCCCCCUUCCGUGCAGAAGACCCGCAGUGGGUUCCACUCCAACACUUCUCAAAAAGGAAGAGGGAGGUACUUCCUUCUCUCAAAGAGAUCCAUCCUCCCUUAAUCUCAUCCACCCUACUCCCUUCCCGGUAGAGCAAUUAAAAUGCUUCAGAAAGGCUUGGAUGUUUUUUAUGUUGAUGUCACAUCUGCACGUGUCACAAGAGCCUUCGUGUUCGGGGUGCCGUCGAUGGAGCCUGUGGUUUCUAGGGCCCAGCACAGGGCCCGGCACGUGCCGUGAUUUAAAGAUGUCAGAAGACCCCUGCACAGGCGAAAGCACACAGCUUUGCAGUCCCACCAGCUGUGGCAGUCCUGCGGGGCCCGGUAGGCCCAGGCUGAUAUUCCGGCACUGACUUUCAAUGAUGUGGAGCCUUGGAGAGAUCGUGUCCCCGAAGCAGGCCUCGGUUUCCCCAUCUGUAGAAAACGGUGACAAUCAUAACUGCUCUUGAGAGUGGUCCUGAAGAUUAAAUUGGAGCAUAAGCCCUCAGUGCCUGUUUUGUUGUUGUCAGGAUUAGCAGCGUUCUUUAUCUCAUAGCUGCUGGUUUCUUUGUUUUUCUCAGAUUGAUGCCCUUGCCUACCUCCGAGGAUCCUGUAAGGACUUUGGGAGAAAAUGCACGUUAAGCUCCAAGCUCUGGGCCUUCGUUGGCAUCUUGGUGGGCAUCCAUGUAGCAUAGGAUAGGUCUUCCUGCAUGUGUCACCAUGAGGUCCCUGCAGCCAGCCUCCAGUCUGCAAAACUAAAUGGACUCCUCUCUGUGCCCCUCAGUCCGAGGGAGCGGGAAUACCAGUGCCUUCGGGAACCCUUGCCUGCUGCCCGUGGGCCGUCUUGGAAUUGUCACCCCUUGCAGCAUCUCCGCGGGGAGGGAGGUGAGGGAGCGUGGAUGUUGGGA